rnacentral:rRNA from 1 species
UAGGGAAUAUUAGAAAUGGACGAAAGUCUGAUCUAGCAACACCGCGUGUGCGAUGAAGGCCUUCGGGUUGUAAAGCACUUUUUGGAAGGAUUAGGAAGGAAUGUACUUCCAGAAUAAGUCUCGGCUAACUACGUGCCAGCAGCCGCGGUAACACGUAGGAGGCGAACGUUAUCCGGAUUUACUUGGCGUAAGCGCGUGUAGGUGGUUCUGUAAGUAGGGCGUGAAAGCUCCUGGCUCAACUGGGAGAGGCCGUUCUAAACUGCAGAGCUAGAGGAUGGUAGAGGGAGGUGGAAUUCCGGGUGUGGCGGUAGAAUGCGCAGAUAUCCGGAGGAACGCCAGUGGCGAAGGCGGCCUCCUGGACCAUUCCUGACACUCAGACGCGAAAGCUAGGUUAGCAAACGG